AGAGUUUGAUCAUGGCUCAGAUUGAACGCUGGCGGCAUGCCUUACACAUGCAAGUCGAACGGCAGCGCGGGGGCAACCCUGGCGGCGAGUGGCGAACGGGUGAGUAAUACAUCGGAACGUGUCCUGGAGUGGGGGGAUAGCUCGGCGAAAGCCGGAUUAAUACCGCAUACGCUCUAAGGAGGAAAGCGGGGGAUCUUCGGACCUCGCGCUCAAGGGGCGGCCGAUGGCGGAUUAGCUAGUUGGUGGGGUAAAGGCCUACCAAGGCGACGAUCCGUAGCUGGUCUGAGAGGACGACCAGCCACACUGGGACUGAGACACGGCCCAGACUCCUACGGGAGGCAGCAGUGGGGAAUUUUGGACAAUGGGGGAAACCCUGAUCCAGCAAUGCCGCGUGUGUGAAGAAGGCCUUCGGGUUGUAAAGCACUUUUGUCCGGGAAGAAAUCCUUCGAGCGAAUACCUUGAGGGGAUGACGGUACUGGAAGAAUAAGCACCGGCUAACUACGUGCCAGCAGCCGCGGUAAUACGUAGGGUGCGAGCGUUAAUCGGAAUUACUGGGCGUAAAGCGUGCGCAGGCGGUUCGCUAAGACCGAUGUGAAAUCCCCGGGCUUAACCUGGGAACUGCAUUGGUGACUGGCGGGCUAGAGUAUGGCAGAGGGGGGUAGAAUUCCACGUGUAGCAGUGAAAUGCGUAGAGAUGUGGAGGAAUACCGAUGGCGAAGGCAGCCCCCUGGGCCAAUACUGACGCUCAUGCACGAAAGCGUGGGGAGCAAACAGGAUUAGAUACCCCCGUAGUCC
rnacentral:rRNA from 1 species